rnacentral:misc_RNA from 1 species
UUCCCUCACAGCUCACGACACACAACACAAGACGAGGGUCUAUUCAACCACCACUAGUUGUGCAUCCGCCCUAAGGGGACUCAUCUUU